rnacentral:rRNA from 1 species
GGCGGCAGGCCUAACACAUGCAAGUCGAACGCGACCUUCGGGUCGAGUGGCGCACGGGUGAGUAACGCGUGGGAGUCUGCCCUGUGGUACGGAAUAACAUCGGGAAACUGGUGCUAAUACCGUAUAUCCCCUGAGGGGGAAAGAUUUAUCGCCAUGGGAGGAGCCCGCGUAGGAUUAGCUAGUUGGUGAGGUAACGGCUCACCAAGGCGACGAUCCUUAGCUGGUCUGAGAGGAUGAUCAGCCACACUGGGACUGAGACACGGCCCAGACUCCUACGGGAGGCAGCAGUGGGGAAUAUUGGACAAUGGGGGAAACCCUGAUCCAGCCAUGCCGCGUGUGUGAUGAAGGCCUUCGGGUUGUAAAGCACUUUCGCACGUGACGAUGAUGACGGUAACGUGAGAAGAAGCCCCGGCUAACUUCGUGCCAGCAGCCGCGGUAAUACGAAGGGGGCAAGCGUUGUUCGGAAUUACUGGGCGUAAAGGGCGCGUAGGCGGUGUAUUAAGUUAGGCGUGAAAGCCCUGG